rnacentral:misc_RNA from 1 species
GUGAAUCAUCGAAUUUUUGAACGCAUAUUGCACUCUCUGGUAUUCCGGAGAGUAUGCCUAUUUGAGGGUCAUUUGAAAUAAUAUAAAUUCCAAGAUUUCUCGGAAUUUAAAAUGGGUUGUCCAUUUUUUGUGGUCGCCUAAAAUCAAAGCAAAGUUCAUUUUUUUGGUUUGCGUGAUAUUUUCAGUUACUUCGUGAUUUAACCAGGACUAAUCGGGGUGU